UUACAUAAAAACGGCGAUUAAUUUGAUCAUAAAAAGAAGUGAAUUUGAAUUUCCCGCUUCAAUUCUAAAAAGGAAAGGCGACGUAUCCAAAUGAAGCUCAAAACAUCCGAGACGCCUAUUUGACCGAACAAGAACUACCGGUUUCCCCUCACUAUCUCGUUGUAUUAUUUACAAUAGCGAGUGGGCAUCUGACGCGAGUUAAUUGUAAAUCUGAAUGGGUCUGAAUAGAACUGACCAAGAGGCUGUCGUGACGUAUCCGUAUGUUAUUGUAUUUUGUGCAACUUGAGCGUUUAAUAUCGAGAUAAAAAGCAACAAAUAAAGAUGAGUUCAAGUACGUGUUACAAGUGUAAUAGGCAAGGUCAUUUUGCUCGAGAAUGCAACAGCGAUGGUGGUGGCCGUGAUAGUUUCAGCGGUCGUGGUCGCGAAAAAUGCUACAAAUGUAACCGUUUGGGCCAUUUUGCACGUGAUUGCAAGGAGGAAGCGGAACGUUGCUAUCGUUGUAAUGGCGAAGGUCAUUUUGCAAAGGACUGUAAGCAAAGUCCGGAGGUGCCGUCCUGUUACACGUGCAAUAAGCCUGGGCAUAUCGCUAGGAGUUGCCCAGAAUCUGGUGGCGGAAAUGAUCGCGUUUCCAGCCAAGCGUGUCGUACUUGCAAGAAGUUGGGGCACAUAUCGCGUAAUUGUCCGGAAAAUACCAAGUGCUUCAGGUGCCAGAAAACUGGCCAUUUCAUGCGCGAUUGCGACCAAGAGUAGGGCCCUACCCUCCAUACAAAAAAAUUACUAUAUCUAAAUCCGCCAACAACAACAACAACACGUCUUUGUUCAUUGGAUUGCAUUUUUUAACGAUGAUGAUGAGAGAGAGAGAUGAGAGGUUUGACGGUUUCCGAGGUGUUGACAAAGUUUUACACUUGUUGUAUUUUUCAUAUGUUUAAAAAUUGUUUUGGUCCAUAUCUGUAAUACGGUUUGUAAGCCUAUUUAUUCUCAAACACUUCCUGUAUUUUGUAUUUCUCUCUUUUUUUUUUUAAAUACUAUCGUAGGAUUCGUUUUCAUUUAUAUAGGUAAACCCAAAAUAAAAUAAAAAUCCCUCUUCCUUUUACAACAUCACCACAUACAAUCCCCCUAUCCUUUUUAUUUUGUUCAGGGAAUAACUAUUUUCCUAAUAAAAUAUAUAGAAAUUUUUCA